ensembl:lincRNA Mirt1 myocardial infarction associated transcript 1
CUUUUGCAAUGCAGUUGUCAGCAGCAGCCAUGCAGCAGUAAGUGAUGGAGGCCUGAGAAGUGACCUGUUACCAUCUAAUCUCAGCAGUCACCAUUUGCCUCUCCACUGUCCCCUCCACGCCUCUGGUGAUGGCUUAGUGACUCUCCUUGCCCAGCAGGUCGGUUUUCCAAUUACUUCCAGCCAGGCCUGCUUUCCCCUGAAUUUCAUUUCCGGGCCUGUUGAAGCCAAAUUAAUUUUUAAUCACCUUUGAGGUGUUCUGUUUAAUUACCUGGGUUGAAUGACGAGGAGAACAGUGUGUACGGAGGCGAAACUUUGGGGGUGCUUCUCGGGAACGGGGAGUGGGGUGUUUCUAGAGUGCUGUGCAGUUGGAGAGACAUGGGAUGCCCAGUGACAUGACGGACUAUGAGGACUAUGACAGACGGUGUGAGAGAAAGAAGAGAACCUCAUGAGACUGCCUCACGUGACACAACCCAAAACUUCCCCUUCAGAUCCCUGCAAACGCCUGAGCUUGGAGUGGAGACUCUCACUUAGGAAGGAAAAACAAGCUGAGGAUGUGCCAACAAACAGGCAUGUGCCAUCAAGGCCUGUUUAUGGCUGAAACCCAGGUCCUUGUGCAUAUGAGACCAGCACUCUACCAACUGAGCUAUGCGGGGACUCUGAAAACAGAUUUUUUAAAAUUCGGAUUUUUAUAAAUAAAUAUAUAUAUAUGUAUGUUGUGUAUAUGAGUGUUUCCCCUAAAAGUUUGCACGUGUGUGCAGUGCUCUGUGAAGGACACCAACCCCCCCUGGAAUUGCUGUUAAAGAAGAUUGUAAGCCACCAAGAAUGGAUGUUGAGGAUAAACAGCAGUCCAGCAGAAGAGCAGCGCUUGUUCUUGACCACUCGGCCCUCUCUCUAGCCCCAGGAAGUAGAUUUCUAACAUUAUUUUACAUUAUUGAAGAAAGUUAAAGUAAUACUUUAUGGUACAUUUUGUUGGAGGCCAGCAGAAUGGGUUUACACAUUGCCCGUUGCCAACCCUCAGAGGCAGAAGCGAGCAGUAGUGACACACACUGAAUGGACCGCAAAUACUUACUUCUAACCAUUUCCAGAAAAAAAAAAAAAGGCUCUCUGACCUUUGACCCAGGCCAGUUAUGACACUCUUCUCUCUUUUUCCCCCAGGCUUCCUUGCAGCUAGGAGUGGCCACUUGUUCUCCUCAGUCAGGCAAAGAUCUGCAGGGGAGACUGGUAUAAAGCCCUGCUGUUUCAAAGGAAAGAAUGGGAUGUGUCUGGGAACUCUCCCACCUACUUCCUGUCUGAACUGUGAGUUAGCCCUGGGGAGCCCACCCAGCCCUCUUUUAGAACCCAUCUCCUGCUGAGAGACAGGAAACACAGGGUCAUGAGUUCAAGUAGAAGGGCUGGGUCCAGGAGAAGCGGAAUGCCUGCCCUGAGCACCUGCCCAGAGGUUAGGCUACUUGUAGCCUAGAUCUGAGGAGCCACUUGUCUGCCAGGAACUUGUCAGUGGCUCCUGAUUGCCAGACCCACAUCAGUACAUGGGAAGGUUAUAAGGUAAACUAAGGUCCACUGUUGGAUUCUGGGGUCCUAGAGGCAAAAUUUCUCAGUGUUCCCUUAUCCCUGAAACUCCUAUAGCUCUCAAAAGAUAAUAAUCAAAAUAAUGUUGGAUGGUUUGGAGGAUGUUUGAGAGAUGAAUAAAUGAAUGAAUGGAUGGAUGAAUGAAUGAAUGAAUGAAUGAAUGAAUGAAUGAAUGAAUGAAUGGAAGCAUAUAGUUAUCAAGAGGGAGCUACACAAAAUUGAAAGCAGCCUGGAAAGUCUGACCUAGGUAUUCUAUUAGUUAACAAAGGAAACCGGGUUUCCAUGAGUAUAAUUGGCUUUCCUAUGGUCACAAGAGUUAGGAGGGAAAAAGUUGGGAUCCCACCUUAAGGCUGGUUCAACUCCUUGGAUACUGGCCUCUCCGGCCUCAGCUCCUUGGACAUUCCCUGAGGCAAUGCCAGACAUAAUCUGUAGAAGUAGGUGACAAAUCUACCAUCACCUAGGGGAAAGCAUGAAAGGAAACUUGAUGAGUUUGGACGACUGCCAGUCACACUGCCUCUCUCCCUCGCAUCCCCCAGUUCUGCUCCUAGAAUUGCCAGGAACACGUCACCUCCUUAGCAGGUGCUCGGAACAUAUUUGGAAGAUGAAUGAGUCCCCUCGUAUCAAUGCACAUUCCUCAGCAAAAAGUCACAGGCUGCAAAACUUC